rnacentral:rRNA from 1 species
AGAGUUUGAUCUGGCUUCAGGAUGAACGCUAGCGGCAGGCUUAACACAUGCAAGUCGAGGGGCAGCAUGUCCAGCAAUGGAUGAUGGCGACCGGCGGAAGGGUGCGUAACGCGUGAGCAACAUGCCCUAUACAGGGAGAUACACCAGGGAAACUUGGUCUAAUAUCCCAUAGCAUUCAUUGAAGGCAUCUUUAAUGAAUUAAAGCUUCGGUGGUACAGGAUUGGCUCGCGUGACAUUAGCCAGAUGGUGAGGUAACGGCUCACCAUAGCAAUGAUGUCUAGGGGUUUUGAGAGGAAGGCCCCCCACACUGGGACUGAGACACGGCCCAGACUCCUACGGGAGGCAGCAGUGAGGAAUAUUGGACAAUGGAUGGAAAUCUGAUCCAGCCAUGCCGCGUGCAGGAAGACGGCCUUAUGGGUUGUAAACUGCUUUUAUACGGGAGCAAUAAGGGUUACGAGUAAUCCGAUGAGAGUACUGUAUGAAUAAGGAUCGGCUAACUCCGUGCCAGCAGCCGCGGUAAUACGGAGGAUCCGAGCGUUAUCCGGAAUUAUUGGGUUUAAAGGGUGCGUAGGCGGCCAUUUAAGUCAGCGGUGAAAUUUUGCAGCUUAACUGUAACAGUGCCGUUGAUACUGUUUGGCUAGGAUUUGGUUGUAGUGUGCGGAAUGUGUGGUGUAGCGGUGAAAUGCUUAGAUAUCACACAGAACACCGAUUGCGAAGGCAGCACACUAAGUCAUUAUUGACGCUGAGGCACGAAAGUGUGGGGAUCAAACAGGAUUAGAUACCCUGGUAGUCCACACUGUAAACGAUGAUAACUCGCUGUCGGCGAUACACAGUCGGGGCCAAGCGAAAGC